CUCUUUUAAUUUGCUCGUGCCUGUGUGUUUUUUUCUUUUUUCUCAUGGCUGUGUUUUGGAAGCGUGCUGUAGUGUCCCCAGCAAUUUUUUUGGUCCAAAAGCUUUGGCUUAUGUUUGGCACGCACAUUUCGUUUACUAGUCUUUCAAAACAAUGGGGUAGCCACAGUCAUUUAGAUGGAACAAUUGGUACGGUGCAGUAGCUAAUUCCGUUUUUUGUAGCAUUUUCAGGUGCACUUCAGAUACUCAAUCUGUAUGAUGUUCCCCGGCCCGUUCAAAC
rnacentral:lncRNA from 1 species